rnacentral:rRNA from 1 species
AUGACGCUAGCGCAGCUACACAUGCAAGUCGAGGGGUAUAGGUUUUCGGACCUAGAGACCGGCGCACGGGUGCGUAACGCGUAUGCAAUCUACCUUUUACAGAGGGAUAGCCCAGAGAAAUUUGGAUUAAUACCUCAUAGCAUUGCAGAAUGGCAUCAUUCAGCAAUUAAAGUCACAACGGUGAAAGAUGAGCAUGCGUCCCAUUAGCUAGUUGGUAUGGUAACGGCAUACCAAGGCGACGAUGGGUAGGGGUCCUGAGAGGGAGAUCCCCCACACUGGUACUGAGACACGGACCAGACUCCUACGGGAGGCAGCAGUGAGGAAUAUUGGACAAUGGGCGCAAGCCUGAUCCAGCCAUGCCGCGUGCAGGAUGACGGUCCUAUGGAUUGUAAACUGCUUUUGCACAGGAAGAAACAACUCUACGUGUAGAGUCUUGACGGUACUGUGAGAAUAAGGAUCGGCUAACUCCGUGCCAGCAGCCGCGGUAAUACGGAGGAUCCAAGCGUUAUCCGGAAUCAUUGGGUUUAAAGGGUCCGUAGGCGGUCUUAUAAGCCAGUGGUGAAAUCUCCCCGCUCAACGGGGAAACGGCCAUUGAUACUGUAGGACUUGAAUUAUUAGGAAGUAACUAGAAUAUGUAGUGUAGCGGUGAAAUGCUUAGAGAUUACAUGGAAUACCAAUUGCGAAGGCAGGUUACUACUAAUGGAUUGACGCUGAUGGACGAAAGCGUGGGUAGCAAACAGGAUUAGAUACCCUGGUAGUCCACGCCGUAAACGAUGAAUGCCAGCCGUUAGUGGGUUUACUCACUAGUGGCGCAGCUAACGCUUUAAGCAUUC